rnacentral:rRNA from 1 species
GAUGAACGCUGGCGGCGUGCCUAAUACAUGCAAGUCGAGCGAACAGACGAGGAUCUUGCUCCUCGGACGUUAGCGGCGGACGGGUGAGUAACACGUGGAUAACCUACCUAUAAGACUGGGAUAACCUCGGGAAACCGGAGCUAAUACCGGAUAAUAUAUUGAACCGCAUGGUUCAAUAGUAAGAUACGGUGUUGCUGUCACGUCUAGAUGGAUCCGCGCCGCUUUAUCUAGUUGGGAAGCUAAAGGCCUACCAAGGCUACGAUGCGUAGCCGACCGCAGAGGGUGAUAGGCCACCCUGGAACUGGACCACGCUCCAUACUCCUGCGGUAGGCCGCAGUCGGGUAUCUUCCGCAAUGGGCGAAAGCCUGACGGAGCAACGCCGCGUGAGUGAUGACGGUCUUGCGAUCGUAAAACUCUGUUACGAGGGAAGAACAAAUGUGUCAGUAACUAUGCACGUCUUGACGGUACCUAAUCAGAAAGCCACGGCUAACUACGUG